rnacentral:misc_RNA from 1 species
CCGAGUUUACAACUCCCAAACCCUUGUGAACAUACCUAUCGUUGCUUCGGCGGAUCCGCCCCGGCGCCCUUCAACGGGCCGGAUCAGGCACCCGCCGGAGGAUACCAAACUCUUGUUUUCUUAUAGUAUCUUCUGAGUGGACGAAAGCAAAAUGAAUUA